rnacentral:rRNA from 1 species
GGGCCCGCACAAGCGGAGGAACAUGUGGUUUAAUUCGAUGAUACGCGAGGAACCUUACCCGGGAUUGAAAUGUAGAAGACGAUAUGUGAAAGCAUAUUUCCAGCAAUGGCUUCUAUGUAGGUGCUGCAUGGUUGUCGUCAGCUCGUGCCGUGAGGUGUCGGCUUAAGUGCCAUAACGAGCGCAACCCUGACUGUCAGUUGCUAACAGGUUAAGCUGAGGACUCUGGCGGGACUGCCGGCGUAAGCUGUGAGGAAGGUUGGGAUGACGUCAAAUCAGCACGGCCCUUACAUCCGGGGCGACACACGUGUUACAAUGGCAUGGACAAAGGGUAGCUACCAGGUGACUGGAUGCCAAUCUCUAAACCAUGUCUCAGUUCGGAUCGGAGUCUGCAACUCGACUCCGUGAAGCUGGAUUCGCUAGUAAUCGCGCAUCAGCCAUGGGCG